rnacentral:rRNA from 1 species
CCUACGGGGGGCAGCAGUGGGGAAUAUUGGACAAUGGGCGAAAGCCUGAUCCAGCCAUGCCGCGUGUGUGAAGAAGGCCUUCGGGUUGUAAAGCACUUUCAGUGGGGAAGAAAGCCUUGGGGCUAAUACCCUCGAGGAAGGACAUCACCCACAGAAGAAGCACCGGCUAACUCCGUGCCAGCAGCCGCGGUAAUACGGCGGGUGCGAGCGUUAAUCGGAAUUACUGGGCGUAAAGCGCGCGUAGGCGGUCUGAUAAGCCGGUUGUGAAAGCCCCGGGCUCAACCUGGGAACGGCAUCCGGAACUGUCAGGCUAGAGGGCAGGAGAGGAAGGUAGAAUUACCGGUGUAGCGGUGAAAUGCGUAGAGAUCGGGAGGAAUACCAGUGGCGAAGGCGGCCUUCUGGACUGACACUGACGCUGAGGUGCGAAAGCGUGGGUAGCAAACAGGAUUAGAUACCCCGGUAGUC